GGGCGUCGACCGGCGCACGGGUGAGUAACGCGUAUCCAACCUGCCCACCACUUGGGGAUAACCUUGCGAAAGUAAGACUAAUACCCAAUGAUAUCUCUAGAAGACAUCUGAAAGAGAUUAAAGAUUUAUCGGUGAUGGAUGGGGAUGCGUCUGAUUAGCUUGUUGGCGGGGUAACGGCCCACCAAGGCAACGAUCAGUAGGGGUUCUGAGAGGAAGGUCCCCCACAUUGGAACUGAGACACGGUCCAAACUCCUACGGGAGGCAGCAGUGAGGAAUAUUGGUCAAUGGACGAGAGUCUGAACCAGCCAAGUAGCGUGCAGGAUGACGGCCCUAUGGGUUGUAAACUGCUUUUAUAAGGGAAUAAAGUGAGUCUCGUGAGACUUUUUGCAUGUACCUUAUGAAUAAGGACCGGCUAAUUCCGUGCCAGCAGCCGCGGUAAUACGGAAGGUCCGGGCGUUAUCCGGAUUUAUUGGGUUUAAAGGGAGCGUAGGCCGGAGAUUAAGCGUGUUGUGAAAUGUAGACGCUCAACGUCUGCACUGCAGCGCGAACUGGUUUCCUUGAGUACGCACAAAGUGGGCGGAAUUCGUGGUGUAGCGGUGAAAUGCUUAGAUAUCACGAAGAACUCCGAUUGCGAAGGC
rnacentral:rRNA from 1 species